UAGAGCUUUAUUUUAUGUAUUGCCAUUUCUUUUCAUUGUCUACUUUCUGACUGAGGCAGAAAAACAACAGCAACUGUCCUUACGGGUGUAAGUUUUAAGAAGAGAAAAACGGUAGGGUUGUGUUAGAAUGGACUGGGAUGUAAUAGAAUAUAUUUGAUUGGCUACGUUAAUUAGGUGAGCUAAAUGGGGUUUUUGAUUGCUGGACUUCGAACUUUUGGUAGUCAGACCUUUGUAAUCAAUCAGCUUCAGGACAAAGAGGUCGCCAAAAAAAGGAGUAGACCUUAGUAGCUAGGAAUGUAAUCUAAUGAUUUUUAGCAAGGCAGAGGGAAUAGGUGAGAAGAGCAAGACCAGACAGAGCGAUGUGGCCAGAGUCCGUUCACUGGGGUCAUCUCAAAAGGUGACUGGGCCAAAGCAAAACUGAAACUCAGUAAGAGGAAACCGGCACAGCAUUGCCACAAUGGAAUGCAAAAUCAAUUUCAGGAAGGAGAGAUUUAUUAUAGUUUACAAGUCCACAGGAUACAAGCUAUCAAGAUUACGGAAAACUCAAUUACCCUGCUGCCUUAGAAGAAUGGAGGUAUUAUGUUAGAAGAAAGACAUACAACUCAGACCCAAAUGGCAUGUGGUAACAGUGGACUCAGACUGACAGUUACAAGUGUAACUUCACUCCUACAACUGCAGCAGACCAGCAAACUAAAUGUGUUUGGAAGAGGACAUGGAUACAAGAAGAUGAUGGAGUGCACACUGAGAACAAUAUGGUUUUGAAUAUGGCUCAGAAGGCCCUGGAAAGUAGAUCAUUCGGAGAGACAUAGAAGAUCAAUGGUAGUCCAGACACGAGACAAGUCAUGGUGCUGCUCUAGAGUUCUAUCCAUCUUGCACUCUGGGGACUAUAUUUCACUUUUCAUUACUUCCUGAUCAAACUGAACCUUGGUGUUCUGCUUGUUCCACCUGUGCCCUGCUGUGAAUUCAUCUCCUUCAGGAAGACAAGAAGCAAAACUCCUGCCAAGCUUGGGAUCUGGUGGAAGAGAAGAGGAAGUGUUCUCAUGCAUUUCAGUAAGACUUUCAUCUCAGGACAUAAGUCACGAAAUAAAAGAGACAUGAUUCUAAGUGGGGCUUAUAGAGCAGAUUAUGUCUUAAAUAUCAAAGAGAACUUUGAGACUGUGCAUAUACCAAGAGAGCAGAAAGCUCCACAGGUUUCUGAAAAGAAUGUUGUUUCACAUUUAAGAAAGCACACGGACCAUUUAUCCAAUACCACCAUCC
rnacentral:lncRNA from 1 species